rnacentral:rRNA from 1 species
CCCUUAGAUGUUCUGGGCUGCACGCGCGCUACACUGACGAAUGCAACGAGCUUAUAACCUUGGCCGAAAGGUCUGGGUAAUCUCCAAAUUUCGUCGUGAUGGGGAUAGAUUAUUGCAAUUAUUAAUCUUCAACGAGGAAUGCCUAGUAAGCGCAAGUCAUCAGCUUGCAUUGAUUACGUCCCUGCCCUUUGUACACACCGCCCGUCGCACCUACCGAUUGAAUGGUCCGGUGAAAUCUCGGGACGGCGGCUUGGUCGCUUGCGUCCGACUGCUGAAACUUGAUUAAACCAUAUCAUUUAGAGGAAGGUGAAGUCGUAACA